AAGUCAUGGAGAGACUAAAUUGUCACAUCGAGAAAAUAUCCUUCCUCAGUGACAAGAUAGUAGAGAAACAGCACUGUUCUUCCUGAUUAUUAUUUACAUCUGGAUAAUCUCUGAGUUUUCUCCGUGUAGGCUUCUUACACAAAGGCAGAAGCGCGUGGAUUAAUACAAAUACUAAACUAGUUGGGGGAACAGAGAACGUGAAAAUGGACGAGAAGCCUCAAGUGGAGAGAUAGAGAGAGAGACUGGACCAGUCUGGAGAGGCUGAGAACAAUGCUGCUGUAGUGGCCACAACAUCAGCGUUGGGUGGAGAAAGCUGAGAUCCUGGAACACAGUGUUCUCUUUCUCCAGAAUGCUGGCAAUGGGGACAGGAAGAAAGCUGAAGGUGAGGAGCAUCGAGGUCGCGUCUUAAGCUCAACUUGCUGUCCGGCACAAUACGCCACCAGUCCUUACCCAUCAUGAAGAUACAGGAAUCCCGUUACAGACAGCAGCUUUGUGCAGUCAGGUUAAAUCAUCCUUACAGAGCUCUGCUCCGACAUGGAGCAACGCUCCCCAGCUGCACCACAGACACGCUGCCAAAGAAUCCCAAUCUCAGAACCUCUCAGCCAGCCAGUCUAUGUGGAGGCCGUGGCUCUGAUCUACCACAGGAUAUUGAACUGUAAACAACUGCCACAUCCGUUGCUGCUGAGACUGCUACGGAGUCAUACAUUUAUGUAGUGUUGUGAACACUGAACUCAUGGGCUCCAUAGAUUUGCAGUGAUCUGACCGUAUUUUAGCUAUACAGCACAGCAGAAUAUAUCCGUAAUUAUUGCACAAUUACUUCGACUUUGCCAUCACUACAUCUGCUGAUGUAAAAAGGUCUUUAUAAAUACAUUUGAUUAGAUGAUUACAACAUGUACUAUGUAUAACUUGUAGUACGAGAUGGGCAGUAUUUCUGUUACAUGUAUUUGAAAAAUGUAUUUCAAUUACUUCUGAGUUUUGUAUUACAUGGGGCUGAACAACACUUCAAUGUAUUUUGUAACCAGAUCAAAUCGAGAACUCAUUUGUAUUUACAAAACACUUUUCUAUACCAUUUGUUUUUUUUAUACUGAUUCACCAUUUUGUGGCCCCCUUUCACCCUGCAUUGGUAUCAGAAGUCUGAUGGCACUAUGGUGUGAUAAGAGCAUAUUUAGUCAGUGCAUUUGUUUUCGCACCAAAGUACGUUCAUCUCUAGGAGACAGAACGUGUCUCCUUCCUGAGCGGUAUGACGGCAGUGUGGUCCCAUGGUGUUUAUACUUGCGUACUAUUGUUUGUACAGAUGAAUGUGGUACAUUCAGGCGUUUGAAAACAGCUCCCAAGGAUGAACCAGACUUAUGGAGGUCUACAAUUUUUUUAUUUCUUAGGUCUUGGCUGAUUUCUUUUGAUUUUCCCAUGACGUCAAGCAAAGAGGCACUGAGUUUCAAGGUAGGCCUUGAAAUACAUCCACAGGUAGACCUACAAUUGACUCAAAUGAUGUCAAUUAGCCUAUCAGAAGCUUCUAAAGCCAUGACAUUUUCUGGAAUUUUCCAAGCCGUUUAAAGGCACAGUCAACUUAGUGUUUGUAAAUUUCUGACCCACUGGAAUUGUAAUACAGUGAAAUAAUCUGUAAACAAUUGUUGUAAAAAUGACUUAUGUUAUGAACAAAGUAGAUGUCCUAACCGACUUGCCAAAACUAUAGAAAUUUGUGGAGUGGUUGGAAAAACAACUUUUAAUGGUUCCAACCUACGUGUAUGUAAACCUCAACUGUAAACUUCGAUUGUAGAAUAAAAAAACAAACAUAUUACAGUUAUAGCAAGUAAAAUGUUUCUGUUUCUGAUUGGGCUGAAUACUUGCAAAUGUAUUUAUGUGUUAUAAAAUAGAAAAGGCAUGUAUUUUAUAGUUUCUUUUUGAUACACUGAUCUUUAUGGUAUUUACGACCAACCUUGAAUUGAGAAGGAAGAUAGUAUUGCCAAGUUAAGGGGUCUCCGGUACUUUUGUAUACUUGUUGCAGGUGGUUCGUUAUUAAUUUAUUAAAUGCUCCUUUAGUCACAUAAAUACAAAGCCAAAAUUGGCCCCGGAGAGUUGCUUUCUACAUCGCAUAAGUGCAGAUAUGUGCCCCAUGUCAUUGCUCUCUCACUCUACUGUGUGUAAUUCUUGCUAGCUGUUACUCAGAUGUGGUGGGGCUGAAUCUCAUUAGCUGGAACUCGAAUUGCUAGUGGGCUGGCCCACGUGGGCAGGGGUGGACAUAAAUGACAAAAUAUAACUACAUAAUGCCCUAAAAACAACUGUUUUAAAUUAAAAUAUAAUGUACUUUUGCAAAGUAUUGUAUUUUAAAAUAGAAAAAUACAUUUGCAAGUAGCCGGCUGAAGAGCAACAACAUUUUCAGUAACAGUUACAGAAAGGUCUUACUUGCUAUGACUCUGAUAUGCUGUUUUUUUAUAUACCUUAGUUUUGAAUGCACUGUCACUCUGGACAAGGGUGUCUGCUAAAUGACCAAAAUAUAAAUGUACUGUAUAUGUGAAAAUGGACAACUGCAAAGCACACUGGGUAUUUUUAUUGGCCUUGUUUUGGGGCAGAGCUCAUUCGAGUAAUACUUGCAAUUUUUCAUUUUUACAUAUACAUUUACAUUUAAUGAAUGUAGCAGACGCUCCUAUCACACCAUAAUGCAAUCAGACUUUUGAUACCAACGUAGGGUGAAAGGGGGCCACAAUUGUGAACCGCUAUAAAGAAAUUGUAUGGAAAAUGAUUUUCUAUACCAUUAUCAGCCCAGUGAAAUAAAAAUACUCAGAGGUAAUUUAAAUACAUAUUUAAAAAAUACUGCCCAUUUCUGCAUAUGGGGGGAAAUGUAGGGAAAAUGGUGCCCAUUUCUGCAUAUGGGAGGAAAUUGGUUGGUUGAAAAUUCUCUGUACUACGCCAAACAUUAGCCUACCUAUCCUGUAAGUGUAACAGGUAGCCUAGUGGAGAAGCACAUUAGCCUGUUACAAAUCUGUAGCUAAGUUAAAGUCAGUCAUCAUACUCACCAUUUGACAUUGACAAGAUAAUGAAAUCAUCUGGUUUGGCUGAUUCCAGGAGAACGCUAUCUCCCCGAAUGCAUAGUGCCAACUGUAAAGUUUGGUGGACGAGGAAUAAUGGUCUGGGAAAUCUUAACGCUACAGCAUACAUUAUAGACGAUUCUGUGCUUCCAACGUAGUGGCAACAGUUUUUCCCCAAAGCCUUUUCCAGUUUCAGCAUGACAAUGCCCCCGUGCACAAAGCGAGGUCCAUACAUAAAUGUUUUGUCAAGAUCGGUGUGGAAGAUUUUUUUAUUUUUUUUAUUUCAUUUUUACCCCUUUUUUCUCCCCAAUUUCGUGGUAUCCAAUUGUUGUAGUAGCUACUGACUUGUCUCAUCGCUACAACUCCCGUACGGGCUCGGGAGAGACGAAGGUUGAAAGUCAUGCGUCCUCCGAUACACAACCCAACCAGCCGUACUGUUUCUUAACACAGCGCACAUCCAACCCGGGAGCCAGCCACACCAAUGUGCCGGAGGAAGCACAGUGUACCUGGCAACCUUGGUUAGCGCUCACUGCGCCCGGCCCGCCACAGGAGUCGCUGGUGUGUGAUGAGACAAGGACAUCCCUACCGACCAAGCCCUCCCUAACCCGGACGACGCUAGGCCAAUUGUGCGUCGCCCCACGGACCUCCCGGUCGCGGCCGGUUACGACAGAGCCAGACCCAGGGACUCUGAUGGCACAGCUGGCGCUGCAGUACAGCGCCCUUAACCACUGCGCCACCCGGGAGGCGGUGUGGAAGAACUUGACUGGCCUACACAGAGCCCUGACCUCAACCCCAUCGAACACCUUUGGGAUGAAUUGCAAUGCCAACUGUGAGCCAGGCCUAAUUGCCCAACAUCAGUGCCUGACCUCACUAAUGCUCUUCUGGCUGAAUGGAAGCAAGACCCACAGCAAUGUUCCAACAUCUAGUGAAAGCCUUCCCAGAAGAGUGUUAAAGCAGCAAAGGGGGGACCAACUUCAUAUUAAUGCCCAUGAUUUUGGAAUGAGAUGUUCGACGAACAGGCGUCCACACACUUUUGGUCAUGAAAUGUAUGUUGUCUGGCUACCAAUGUUUUAACUUGUUUUGUACAGUAGGGGCUAUCUCACAUGGAGUUAGGCUAUAGGUCACUGGUCACAUGGUACACAUGUGACCAGCAAGUGUUAGCACAGGUACAAACAAACAAAAAUAACUGUAGCCUAGGCAACUUUCUAAUGGCAGGCACUGAGCAUGGCCAACCCGUUUCUUGGUUUCUGGUAUAUCGUCAAAAUAAAACGUUUUUGGACUCAUUCAGCAGUUGUUACCUGAUUAAGUACAAUACCAUUGGAAAUUAAUGUUGAAAGUUCAAAUUAAACUCCUAAAAAUUAAGUUGAAAAUUAUGC